CAGGCCUAACACAUGCAAGUCGAGCGGCAGCGGGAAGUAGCUAGCUACUUUGCCGGCGAGCGGCGGACGGGUGAGUAACGCGUGGGAAUCUACCCAUUUGUGGGGGAUAACUUGGGGAAACUCAAGCUAAUACCGCAUAAUCCCUACGGGGGAAAGCAGGGGAUCUUCGGACCUUGCGCAGAUGGAUGAGCCCGCGUCGGAUUAGCUAGUUGGUAGGGUAAAGGCCUACCAAGGCGACGAUCCGUAACUGGUCUGAGAGGAUGACCAGUCACAUCGGGACUGAGACACGGCCCGAACUCCUACGGGAGGCAGCAGUGGGGAAUCUUGGACAAUGGGGGCAACCCUGAUCCAGCCAUGCCGCGUGUGUGAAGAAGGCCCUAGGGUUGUAAAGCACUUUCAGUAGGGAGGAAGGCUUCGGGUUAAUACCCUGGAGUACUUGACGUUACCUACAGAAGAAGCACCGGCUAAUUUCGUGCCAGCAGCCGCGGUAAUACGAAAGGUGCGAGCGUUAAUCGGAAUUACUGGGCGUAAAGCGCGCGUAGGCGGUUAGUUAAGUCGGAUGUGAAAGCCCAGGGCUCAACCUUGGAACUGCAUCCGAUACUGGCUAGCUAGAGUGCAGUAGAGGGAGGUGGAAUUUCCGGUGUAGCGG
rnacentral:rRNA from 1 species